CCCCUGGCGCCGAUUGCACUUCGCAAACACCACCCUGUCUCUACGAUAAAUCAUAACGUAUAUAACCCUUUGGGAUUCUUUCUUUUCACACUUCCUUCAACCUAGCAUCAUCCCACAAAUAUGCAAUAUUGAACAAGUUUUCGAAAUUGAGAAGAAUAUCGAAGCGUAUUCUUUUUUGGUAACCAGGGGUUUAAUGAUACUCUUGGGAAAUGAUUUUGAGAAUUUUCAAGAAUUUUAAAUGAAUCAUUCUUAGAGAUUUUGAAAAUUCUUUUUUCAGAAUAUUUUUCAAACGAUUUAUCCUCCUCUAUUUCUAAUUAUAUUCUUAAUUUAACUCUCAGUCAAAGGGUUAAAAUAGCUCGGACGAAGGGGAUCGAUAAGGUUUCUCGUACUUCGAAAUUGAUCAUUCUGCUCAGGAAUAUUCGAUACGAAAUUGCAUGGAAUUAAACGAAACGAAAGGUAGGAACAGAGUAUUCGUUCAUUUUUACAUCGCCUUUUACGAACGCAUCCUGGCAACGCAAAUGAUGAUCAUUAUAAAAGCCGUGUCAAAUCUCUUCAUCGACGCAAAUAUCUCGAACGCAACGACGACGUUUUUGCAAAAUGUGUUUUGCUGAAGGAAACGAUGAUUUCUCUUACGGUACGCUCGCUUCGUCGUACGGUAAUUGAAUACUAUGAAGCAUUGAUUAUACCACGGCAAAGUACAAUGAGAAAUCUUCUAGGAAAUGUCAAAUUAUUCUUGCGAGUAAUACAAGAAUCGGAAAGGAAAUCGAUGAGUCAGGAAGAGGAAAAAAAAGGUAUCUCUAAAGGUAGACACUCGAGUUCGAGGAACGAAUAAACACCUUGCCGAUGAUGAAACGAAAUUUUACUGGGACGCAACGGAAACUGCAACGACAGAAUUAAUUCAGCGAACAGAUUUUCUUAUUUUCGAUGCGAUAGAAAAAUUCAUUUCCUCCUCUCGGUUCCCGACGAUUCGUGUCUUUCACAAUUCUAUAUUACGUAAAUUCUGGUCCUUGACAUUCAGCAAGAAAUUUUAGAACGUUCACGACACUCGAACGCGGUGGAAUACUAGAAAAUUUUAGAAAUGUUGAACACGCAAACGCUAUUGAUGUUUUAUUGAGAUUUUAUUGAGAAUGAUCUUUGGAUAAAAGCGAAAGAAACAAUGUUUUCAGUGUGUAUAGCAGGUACAAGGUAUUCGAGAAGCAAAACAAUGUGCCAAGAAUUACACAACCCAAUGACUCGAUGAUCCUAACGUUCGUCUACGUGCAGCUACUUUGUUUGUCGUUUCGAGUUCUGAAUAUACAUUGCAAAUUAGCAUGUAAUAGUUUUUUUUUAAUUAUGCCUUUCAGACGGCUUUCAGGCAAGAUUUCGAUUUGAUCAAUAAACGAUGCAAAUUUCAUUUCUCCUUAAUUUAAUUUAAAUUUAAUUUAAAUUAGCGCCAAAUUUGUAUCGCUCCGAAUCCGACGAUUUUUGUACUUUUUCGGUCACAUUUCCGCGGCGGUUAAAUCUAAAUGUCAUCGUACGUCGAGCAGCAAACGAGUUGCAUUACCAUAAUCCCAUCACAGACAUAGAUUAUGGUCGCGUUCGUAUCCCAUUAAUUCCACGUUAAAUAUUUUCGUUGGAAAGUAAGCCUUCCGGGACUUAACCGUCCACGAUCCAAGUCCAAACGCCAGUCCAAAUCUUGGAAUACCUCUGACGUUUGAAAAAUCCUAAAAAAAACAUAAGAAACCAACUAAUUGAAUUUAUCGUUGUUUUCAGAUGCAGUCGAUUCUCCACUUCCAUGCUUGAAAAACGACCGCUUUCUUCAGCAUCCACCUACACAGGUGAUUCCUUAUAAUUUUUUUUUUUUUCUUCUUUCCUUAUUUCUGAAUGACGAGGUUCUUUCAUAAUUUUCCCUUUACUAGGUAUUACACGAGUGUCACGCGUUGAGGCUAACUUAUGUGAUACUUGACACACUGGUAGCAGGCGAUAACGAGCCACCUGGAACGAGACUAACGAGCAUCUCACAUUUCAUACGAUGUAUUCUGACAUAAUACGCGAUGCCAUCGUGUCAAAUGAGUCACUACACCUUGUCGAUAUUGUCCGCAUCACCGGAAGACUCUUCUUCACGCGAAAAAAUCAGCCUCCAAUUAUUACAGACUGAUUAGAUCUCGAUGAUCCGUAUCUGAUAUGGAGAAUCACUGUAACCGUAGUGGAUUAUCAUUUUCUUCAUCGUAUAUCCAAGGGUAGACUGGCCAUUGGGAAUUUAGAACAAUUCCUGGAUAGAUUGGUAGAAAAGGGGUUUAAUUAAACUUAUUCAUUACAAGAGGGCUAAUCAUCUUCUGGUACAAAUUUCAGUCCCAAUCCAUCCCUAGGUAUUGUUUAAAUAAUUAAAAUGCCAGAUAUAUUUGGUUACGUCAAGAAGAUACUUUAUUAUUGUACCGGUAUAUAGACACGGUACUCCUUGUCACAUCGACUUGUGCUUGUUGGAGCAUGUAUUUCAAUCCCGUUUCACACAACGUUUUCUCAUGCUAAUUUCAACGGGAGCUAGUUUUCAUCUCGCACAAUGCUCACGUACGACGUCUAAAUCAGUUGUUUGCGAUCCACCGUGCGAAACAUCCCUCUCUUCCACUUUACACGUCUGAUCGUUAACAAUAACUUCUGUACACGUCUGAUGAUAUGGGUUGAAUAAGUAAACGGUAUGACAACAAUGACUCUUGCCCAUUGAAAAUGAAAUAAUUUUACCAGAAGUAACCAGACAAGAUAACGAACAGAAUUGUUAAUUAGAACGUCCAUGAACUUUGAUUUUUUCUUCUUUGGAAUCUUCCUAUUUGCUGUCAGCUGAUGGAUCGAAAAAAAGAAUGCUGCAACCAAAGCUGAACGAUGCAUAAAGAUGAAUGAAGAAACUAAAGAAAGAUUGAAAGGAGAGUAGAAUAUCGACUGGAAGAGGUGCAAAGGAAGUAAGCACCGUUUAUGUAAACAGCAACUGGAAACUUUAAAAUAUUUGGUCAUGAAUUACCAAAAGUUGGAGAGGUAAGGUAUCACCGAGGAAGAGUUGGAGAACAAACAAGUAGAAAAGGUAAACCAUAACAAGGAACUGAAAUAAGAGGGUGAAGAAAGUUGUUUAAAGUACAAAGAAAUGAAAUAACACAAGAUCAACUUAAACAGGUGGACCAAGUUAAUUUCAUUUUAUAAAAUCUUAAUAUCUAAUCGAUGCUUUUUUUAUUUAUUUCAGAUAAAUCUGAGUCAUUUUAAUCCGACGAAGCUCCGAAGAGAUAUCCGCGAUACGAUUUUCUUCAGUUCCAUAUCGAUGUUUACCAGCGUCGUUUCACGGCUCCGUUGUGUUUCUUUAAUUUUAUUAUUAAGUUUCACAGCACGGCCGAGCACAUUGCACAUGCAAAAUUAAAAUAGACACAUCGCGCCUCUGUUACCCACGGCCUUCGUUGCAUAUUUGCUUACAAGGUGCGUCUUAAAAGCAUUGUAAACACCGAGUAGCCUAUCUACUCGGUGAUUGCGUAUCUCAUUUACCUCGUGUUAAAGAUCGAAAAACCGUGCCCUCUUCAACAAACGAUUUUUACCUCCCUUGUAAUCGUAUCUGGAACGCUGGUUGAAUUAAUAACACAGCUCGAUCCAACAAUAAACCUUAUGGAUCGAACGAAUCCCAUCGACCUAAUUCGCGGACGGACAAAAAAUUUAUUUAUUAAGCGAACGAACAAAAAUGCUUCUCCAUUAUUAGGGACUUAGCGUUGCACGAAUAAUAUUUUAUAUAUAAAAUUAUACCAUUGAAAUUCUUUGAUUCUCUUUCUAAGACAAAUGCAAACGGAUUUACAAAAUGAAUGAAGCAACCAUUCAUUGCUGUUUGUAUAUUAAUCGAGUUAUAUUUAGCCACGUCGAUGUUUUGAAAAAUGCAAAGAAGCACGCGAGAUGAUACCAGGCGACGAUAUUAAAAUUAAUGUAACUAUCGUUCACGCUGUGGUAACUCGUUUGCAAAUUAAUGCGACAAAGACAAUGCGAGUCGGAAAAUUCUGAUCGUUCGAUUAUUAUCUUCUCCGGGCGAAAAGAAAAAUUACCUAAUUAACGCUUCUCCGUGACGAGAUAAUAACAUCGUACCAGCAAAUACUUCCUCGAUCCAAUGCCGUGAGCCUCUUCGUCUUUUCUUCUCGAGUUUCCUAGAGUCACGAGGUUUAUUGCACUUUACGUUACGAAUGUAACGCUUAUUUAAGACGAUAGAAGACGAAUUAAAUCACUUUUCUUGCCACCGGUUUUAUCUGCUUUAUGGGAUUUACAUUGCUACUCGUCAAAGUUCAUAGACGCUUACCCGACGCCGCGAAAUGAUAGUUACGAACAUUUCCAUCUGCCAUAAACGCGUUCGCAGUUUAACGAUAAGAAAUAUACGCGAUAAUUGAAGACUCUCAAAAGAGAAUGAAACGUGUACCGAUAAACGUAACGGCAGCAUCGGACUGUAAAAAAUGGUCAGAAUUUUCUAAGUUAUUACAAUUUUUUUAAUUUGCAUGUAACGCGAUUAUUUCGUGACGGUCUGACUUGAUUUCUUGGUCACGAUUUUUUUUUAUGUGGGUCUCGUGAUAAAAUAAAGUAAACGGAGAGGGUGUCUGAGACCUCUGGUGCGCAUAAACAUCGGAAAAUAUUAAUGCGACGAUAAGUCUCUAAAUUCGAUGGAAGUUAAUAACGUAACGAAUGUCAUCGGUGACCUACGAUAAUUAUUAGCGGUUGUUUGUCUUUGGAAAAAAGUCACGUAAAAAGGGAGAAGAUCAAUUUAUGUCGUAUUUAAUGUUGUCUUUAGUGAAAAAAUUUUGAACGCCAAGGGUAGCUUCCUCUUGAUCGAUACUAAUUAUCAAUAUUUCUGUUAGGAGUGACCUGAAUGCCCGCACGUUCCAGGUGUUCUAUCAAAUUAAUAAUGACGCAGAAGUAGGCGGCUAAAAAUAACGAACCGUCGAAAAUAAAUCUCGUAAUCCAUCAUAUUUUUGACACAUCUACUCUCACCGUUCGACCAAUUUUUAUCACCACGAGCGCUGUAAAAGAGCGAAUACAGAUAAACGUUAGGUGUAACAUCACCUUGUUUCCUAGAUAUGUAAUCUCAUCGAAAUUCGGUGAAAUAUGGCUCUCGAUAAGAAAUUCGCAAGGAUAUAGUCGUCUUAUCGAAAUCCUGUUUUUAUUGAAAAUACACAAUCUCGAAAUUCUUAUCUACCUGUUUUGUCGAAUCAACUUUACUAUUCUUGGUAUCAUUUAUUAUAAUUACUUGAAAAAAAAAAAAAACCAACAAUUAAUCAUCGACAACAGAUGGGUGAUUUAUUUAAAAUUUAACAAAAAUUUGAUCAUACGAUUAAUUGUAUUUCAACCUCGACAACUAUUAUCGUAAUCCUUACACCGUUAAACGAUCGCUUCUUCAUCGUAAUCAAAGAAACGCAUCUUUUCUGUAUCAUUACCACCUCGUACGGCUAUUAUUAAACUUUCAGAUAAUAAUAUCGUAAACAGGAACCGGCUAAUCGAAGAACGAAGAGGAGAAGGUCUGAUUGCAAUCGCCAGUUGUUAUUAAUAUAACGAUUGUUUGUAUUAAAACGUGACAUAAUCAUCAGGCAGUCAUGCACAACAACCGUUCCUUCGUUCUUUCAUUGGACUGUGCAGAUAGAUUUUGUAUUUGUAUAAAUAUAGCAAAAUAGAGCCGCGUAUCAGUAUUCAACUGACGGAAGCAAUGAUUCUUCGAAUUUUAUUUUUGGAGGAAAUGGCUACGUUAUAUACCGUUAUGCAAUAUCAUUUUAUCUAUAUAAUGUUGGAAGACAUUUUUAUCUAAAUUAAUUAGACGCCUGUUGGGUUUAAAAAUAUCAUCGGUUUUGGUACGUCUUUUGAUGUAAUAGUACGUUCUCGGUAAUCUAUCAUCAGGGGCAGCCCUGAGCUUAGGCAGACUAGGCGGCCACCUAGGGCCCUCCAAGGUCCAAGGCCCCCAUAAGACGAUUUUGCAUCUACGAAUGCAAGAAGAGUAAUGUUUACUGAAAUAUUAAUCAAUUUAAAUGCAAUCUAAAUUAGUUAUACCAGCUUUAAUGUUAAUUUUAUAAAUUUUAUUUAAGGUACCUUUUUUUAUGUCGUAUAUGUAAAGGGGACCUUUUUCGGAGCUCCCCUCGGACCCCCGAAAUCUCAGGAUCUAUCGUUCAACUGUUUCGAUUUAACACGUUAGUUGCGGUUAUUUACUGAUAUUAUUUUGAUUUAUUUCAUUCAUCUAUCAGAUGUCUAAAAUUUUUAAUUCGCAGCUAACACGGUAAGCUCGAAUGAUACGUUGUAACGAGAUUACAACGCGCGCGAUCUUUAUAUACAUAGACGUACCUGUCCGACGUAUCUGCCGAUGAUCUCGAGCUUUCAAGAUAGAUAAUUAUCAAGGCACGAACUGAGGUCAUUAGGCUGUACGUGUUAUACUAAACGUGCUUUCUAUUUUUAACUUCAUCUAACGCUCCCGCGAUAAGCCGCUUCCACGGAAGUGUGUAGACAGUUGAUAACGAUUCAGAUUCAUUGUCUGUACUGUUGACGCAUUUCUUCUUUUUUAAUGACCGUAACGCGGUCGAUUUAAUCAUUGAUCGUGCAGAGAAAUCUUUGAUGUCAAUGUGCAGUACCGAGUAUCGGGUAUAGUAGAUUUCCUUUGAGAAAAUGUCGAUGUCUCAUGCUCCAUGGAGAGAAGGCCCCAUUUUUAGUUAAUAUCUACUUUAUAGAUGUUUAAUAGAUUCACGUUCUUUAAGGGACAAAGGACUGUUUUAUUACAAUAUAAAAUAACUUAAAUAAAUUAUAUUUAACAAAAUUAUUAUUCAUAUUCCUAGAUAUGAAAUUGGUAUAUAUUUAAGAAUACGUGGAAAAUAUAUCAGGUUCAAUAUAAUACAUUUUGAUAAAAGAGAACAAAAUUCUGUUUCUUUUUCUACUAUUUCUCGGAAAUAUUCUCUAUUUCAUUUAUUCUUCUAAAUUUUGUGAUGUCGG